GUCGUAACAAGGUAGCCGUAGGGGAACCUGCGGCUGGAUCACCUCCUUUCUAAAGGAAAAAAAACUUUGAACUAAGUGUACGUUUAAAGUAACCACCGUCUAUUUGUUUUGCUUUUUUCAACUAACGUUGAUAAAGGGCAUUGAUUGGGCGUGUAGCUCAGUUGGUUAGAGCGCGCGCUUGAUAAGCGUGAGGUCGGAGGUUCAAGUCCUCCCUCGCCCACCAACACUGUUGGGGGAUUAGCUCAGCUGGGAGAGCGCCUGAUUUGCAUUCAGGAGGUCAGCGGUUCGAUCCCGCUAUCCUCCACCAACUUUUUAAAAUCGUAAAUAUGUAAGCUGAUAACACAGACGAAUAACUUGCACGAGUUGUUCGUCAAUUAAACAACUAAUAUAACAACAAAUAACUACAAAAAGUUAUUAACAACAAACUUUUCACUGUGUGUUAAUAAUUCAAGCGCGUAAGAGCAUUUGGUGGAUGCCUUGGC
rnacentral:misc_RNA from 1 species